AUUUUUCUACUCUCUUUUCCCUCACACGCUCCUAUUCUUUCAUCAUCCGCUCCUCUUCAAACCCUAAUAGUCAUCUACUCUAUGGCGACUUUUCAGAAAACCCUAAAUCUCAUCCCGUUGCUUUUUCUUUUUCUCAGAAACCAUGUUGCUCACUCCCUCAACCUCAACCUAAACCUAAAUCGACAUCAUCUUCUCUGAUUUGACCUUUUCAGAAGACAAUAUAGGAAAAUCCAACAACCCAACUGUGUUUCUCCUCCGUCUGCCGAUCGAUUCUUCUCACCGACAACUUUGACACAGGGUUUGCAUAUUUUUGGGGUAGAGUCGUUUAUUGAAGUCGAUAUGAAAUAUAAAAAGUCCAAUUCAAUUGUUUUGGUAAUUUGUGACUAACAACACUAGCAGUUUUAGCUACUGCAUUCCUGGAAGAUCAUGAACUAUUGGUGUAUGCUUUCAAAGAUGCGACGUGUGCGGUUUAGAGAAAGGGUGAUGGAAAGAGAUCUGGCCACGUACCAUUCCACUUUCCACCUCACAUAUGUCAUACAAAGAGAGAGAUGGAUGUUAGAGAAGGGAGGACUCCAUCGUUAUAGAGCGAGAGAGGUACAUAAGUCUAGAGAGAGAAAAGAGAGGGAGAGGGAGAAUCGUGAGGGAGUGGCGGUUGAACACCGCACUUGGUGGCGGAGCCACCAGAUUCGGGCGCAUCUACGACCCCAAUCGACGGAACAAUGGCAGAGGGUUUAAGACAUAGAGGCUGUGUAGACGACGAUCAUGACAGCGCUUUGCAUUCUGACCAAGUCAAACCAGAUUCAGGUGAUUGCGCUCAAGCAACCUAAUAUAUCUACAUAGGCCUCUUUCUUGGAUUGAACAAGGACCAUGCUGUGACCAAGAAGGAAUGGGCUCCUCGCCCAUGUGACUAGAAAGGCGUUUGGCAUUCGUCUAUUAGUUGUGAUCAGUUUCAGGACUCCUUGCCACAAAGGCGGCGAAAGGAUGAUCGAAUCAAUGCAUGGUUUCUAUCACAUGACAUGCUGGUGUGGGCAUGAGUUAUGUUAUUUUUGUGGUGCUAAUAUGUUGAUAGUAAACUAGCAUUCAGAUGUGUCAUCGGAUACUGUCGCAGAGACGAAAGUGGCGAUUUUACUUUGACCCAUUACUCUUCUAGGGUUUCUUAUUCUUCUUCAAUUGUUCUUCAGCUCCUUCGUCAUUGUGUGAAUUCGAUCGCUGUCUUCAGCAUACAGGCUAGACUUCAUAUAUUAAUCAACUUACAUUCUUAAGUUUCUUAGAUUUUCUCACUAUUAUUUUCUUUCAUUUUUUUAUUGCAUCUGAAAUCUCAUGUCUCCUCGAAUCCUCUGUCUCUUCCACCAACAUUGGGUGUUUUUUCAUGCAAAUUUCUUCCACACAAAGUUAUUUGCAUCGAUGGAUGAAUGGCGGCAGCGUCUGCUGGAACUUGGGUUUCGGUGAAUCAAUUUCAGUGGCACGCUAUUGCCGAGGUUUGCCUUCAGCAAAAUCAUUCUUGCGUUCAGAAGAUUAUCACCAUUUCUACCACACUGCUGGCGAUCAAGGUGAUUUUAACUAUGCUUAUUGGGCCGGUGUUGGCAUCUUUCAUUCCGGUGUCCAAGUUCAUGGUGUAGAAUAUGCAUUUGGAGUACAUGACUACCCGAGUAGCGGUGUCUUUGAGGUCGAACCUCGCCAAUGCCCCGGGUUCAAAUUUAGGAGGUCGAUACUAAUCGGGACUACAUGUCUUGACCCAGUCCAAGUCCGAGAGUUCAUGGAGCUUCAUGCUGCCAACUACCAUGGCGACACGUAUCACCUCAUUGUAAAAAACUGCAACCAUUACUACAACGACAUUUGUUAUCGUUUAACAGGGAACCCAGGAUGGGUUAAUCGACUUGCUAAACUCGGUUCGAUGUAGUGCUUGGAUUCAUUCGGGUAAAGUUUCCAGGGGUAAAGUGGUUCAAAAUGCUGCUGACUUUUCUGAGUUUGGUCCUCCGUAUCUGGCUGUCCGAGUUUGGUCCCUGGUCUUCAGCACUCCGAGGUUGGAUUACAAGUGUGACAUGCUCACUGUGGCCCUCCGUGUUUGCUGGCUUUGGCUCCGGGUUUGUUGUUUUGGGGUGUAUUAUUCCCAGGUGUACGGGUUUACCCCUGGGUUUAUUUGGUUUUUGCUGCACGACAAGGAUUUAUGGAGCAAGUAUGCAGGCCCAACGAUUACCGACCCAUGACCUCCAUAUUAAUAUAUAUAUUAUAUGUUUGUGUUAAGCCACCCGCGAAGCUCGCGGGAUCUUAGGCUAGUCCUACAUAUAAUCUACAAACCCUACACAUAUCAAAA